AAUAUUAUUAUUGUUAAUGAUUUAUCACUCAAGAGUCAAGAGGCAUCUCAGUUUAUUCAGUGGCAAUAUUGAGCAACAUAAGGAAAAAAUAUUGAAAUAUUGGUUGAUGCCUAUUCUAAACAGUCUCAUUCCAUUCUUAUUACUGACGUACUGUACAAUACUUUAUCCACCAUAUUAGAAGGACUCCACCAGUUAUUAGUUAAUAGGUGUAUUCACGUACAGCAGUUGAUUGGGCCGUAUUUUGGAGACCUAAUUAAAGGAACAGGAAAAUUAUUUCCAGAUAUUUUGAGAUUUAUUAUCAAUAUGGUAUCUAGUAUUGAUGAGCAUCUUCAUGAAUUAUCAGUUCCUGUUACAAAUGAAAUCCAGCAAGUUAAGAAUUAUAAAAGUUCAUUGUAUGAUUCCAUUGACGUUAUUACUGGAAGAUACUAGUUCAUUAUUUCAUAGAUCUGAGGAUUUAACCCUUUUAUUGGUUGAGACCGCCAUUGCUAUGACAACUUGUGUAUGUGAAUGUAAUGUUUAUCAAAUAGCAUCAUCAGUUGUGAGGCAUUGCUCAAAACUCACAUUCAGCAAGACUGAUAGCAAAUGUUAAAUACCACUUCUAUUGAAUAAGCUAAUGAUUUCAUCAUCAUCAGGCCAGCUGCCAGAGACACCAGCACUUAUUCGAAAUUACUUAUGUCACAUAAAUAAUUCCUUCGUGGUUUGUUUGUGAUUGAUAAAGAUCAGUUUAUUGACAGAAAAAUAAAGCAAAUAUUCUCACAUUAUUUCUUAAGCUAUCUUCAAUCCAACCCAAACUCAUCCACUAAUCCAUUUGUAUUAUUAGUGUCUCCAGCUUUUUAUGAAUCUCCCAAUAAAUACAAUUGUUGUUCAUAUUCAUCUCUAAUUUGCCUAAUGUUUUGGGAGUUGAUAAAUGCCUUAUACCAAGAGUCCAUUAUAUUUAGAGAGAG